rnacentral:rRNA from 1 species
UACGUAGGGUGCGAGCGUUAAUCGGAAUUACUGGGCGUAAAGCGUGCGCAGGCGGUUUUUUAAGCCAGAUGUGAAAUCCCCGGGCUUAACCUGGGAAUGGCAUUUGGGACUGCAAGGCUCGAGUGCGGCAGAGGAGACUGGAAUUCCAGGUGUAGUGGUGAAAUGCGCAGAUAUCAGGAAGAACACCCGUGGCGAAGGCGGCUCUCUGGAACGCAACUGACGCUGAGACGCGAAAGCGUGGGGAGCAAACAGG